GUGCAAGUUUUGUUUGUUUAAUUUAGCGUUCUUUAGUUGCUUGAAGAUUUCUAAUAAAUGUUGGAAAAUGUGGACUUCUUCAUGUAACCUUAAAGACCUUGCUGAGUAGAGAGACAAAGAGGUAUAUGGAACAAUGGGAAGUAGGGUCUUUAAUUCACAUCAGGAAGGAUUGCCAAAAAUUCACAUACCUUUUUACUACUUAAAAAUACAGUUUUCUAGAUAAGGCUUCAAAACAAGUAACAUUCAUGUAAUCUCUCUAGCUAAAGUAUGAAUUUGUCAUCCAAUUAAAAAAACCAUCCCCUCCAUACUCAAAUUACAUCUGUUUUAACAUUGCAAUGUUUUACACUGAACAAUUCAUCUUUGGGAGUUUGGCCAGUAUAGUGGUGGAAAUGGUUGGUAAGGGGGUGGGGGAUGUGUAAUCCUGACCUUGCUUUAGAAAAAAAUAGUAAAGUUCUGCCCAGAAAAAUGUAUAACAACAACAUUGAGGCAAACAGCUAAUGGUGCCCCCAAAUGGUCUCUCCAUAGGAUGCCAAACCAGAGAUGUGGAGCCAUGGCAGUUAAAUUGGCUCUGGCUUACCUUCACAUUUAUUUAUAAAUGCUGAAGAAUGAUAAGUUUGAAUAUCGGUAAGUUACAAUUUAGAACUUUGGUAUUUAUUCUUUUUUAAUGUUUGCUACCCCAAAGUCAUUCUAGUGUGUUAUUUUUAGAAGUUGUAGAGUUUUCUGGAAAGGCUUAUUUAUUUUUAUUUCAUGUGUAUGAGGUUUUUGCCUGCAUGUGUAUAUGUGCAUCACUUGCUUGCCUGGUGCCCUCUGAGGCCAGGAAAGGGCAUCAAUGAAUCUGGAGUCAUAAAUGCUUGUAAGCUGUUGCAUGGGUCUUGUCACCAAACCCAGGUCCUUCUGGAAAAGCAGCAAGAGUCUUAACAGCUGAGCUCUUUCCUGCUAUGAGAUUUGUAACUUUGACUUCUGCAAUUAGAUGUAUGACCUAUCCCAAGUUAAUUUGUGCAUAUAAUUGGAAUAGAUUUUUAAAUUUUUUUUAUUAAAUUUAUUUAUUUUACAUUGCUACCAUAGUUCCCCCUCCUUCCUCUCUACCCAAUCUUUCUCUUCCCACAAUCCAUUCAUCCUCUGUUUAUGUUCAGAAAGGGGCAGGCCUCCCAUGAGUAUCAACAAAGCAUGGCAUAUCAAGUUUUGGUAGGAUUAAGUACCUCCUUGUUUUAAGACUGGGGACGGCAACUCAGUAAGAGAACUAAGUUCCCAAAAGCCAGCCAAAGCAUUAGGGGCAGUCCUGAGGGUAAGGGCAUUGGAAGUGAUAGCUGGAAACGGGGGUACAUUUUGGGGUCAGGUAGAAACCUGGUACAAGGGAAACUCUCAGGAAUCUACAAGGAUGAUCCCAGCAAAGACUCCUAGAAAUAGUGGAUAUGUAUCCUGAACUAACCAUCUCCUGUGGCCAGGUAAGACUUCCAGUAGAGAGAUUGGGACACUAGCCCAGUCACAUAACUUUUGACCCAUAGUCUGUCUUGCCUAUGGGAUGUACUCGGGGUAAGGAUGACACAGAGGUUAUAGGAGUGGCCAAAAAUGACUGGCCCAGCCUGAGAUCCAUGCUACAAGAGUGAGCCCACUCCUGACACUGCCUGAACCCAGUGGCUGGAUGGCCCAGAGACGUAGGUUAGAACUGAACAUGAUUGGAGAAAAAACGUCAGUGUAAUUAUGCUUAAGAAUAUUCUGUUAUAUUCAUAGAUCAGUGCCUAUCCCAAUUGUCAUUAGAGAGCCUUCACUCAGUAACUGAUGGAGACAGAUGCAGAGACACACAGGCAAACAUUAGGUGCAGCUGGGGGAAUCCUGCUGAAAAGAGGGGGGGAGUAUUGUACAAGCCAGAGGGGUCAAUGACUUAACAAGUAAGCCCACAGAAUCAACUAACUGGGCUCAUAGAAUCUCACAAGUCUGAACCAACAAUUGGGGAACCUGAAUGGGACCAAUCUAGACCUUCUACAUCUAUGUGACAGUUGUGUAGCUGGGACUCCUAACAGUAAGAUAGAUUUAAAGUUAAUUUUGUUUAAAUACCCAAAUGUUUCUUGAAUAGAUUAGAUUUCCUUAGUACAUCUGUCACAUGUCAGGAGCAUAACUGUGCACAGAGACAUUCCAAGGCUGGUGGUUGUUUUGCUUUUUGUUUGUUUUCCUCUGUGUAGUCCUGGCUCUCUGGCACUUGCUCUGUAGAACAGGCUGGUAUCAUACUCAGAGAUCUGCCUGCCUCACCCUUGUUUUUCGCUUUGUACUGAUGUAUCUGUCCACUUGUUACCAGGUACAUGCUGUCUGAAUUUGUGUCUCAAGCAACUGAGAUUGUAAGAUUUUUAAAAAUAUUUUCAUUUGCCUCAUUUUUAAUAUUUUACUUAUCACAGCUCACAUAUCCUUUCUGUUUUCAAUGUCCUGUUACUUUUAUUUGAACAUACACAUUUGACUGUGGUUUUUCUAUUCAGUGAUUAUAGCCUUUAUAGGAAAAACCAUGUAUAAUGACAAUUGAAAUGAAAGAAAAAGAAUCAUAAGGCAUAACUCCUAAACAUAAAGAACAUGGGUUCUAAAUUUAAGAAAUGGACUAGAAAGACAGUAGAAGAGACAAAUUUGGGGGAAAAUGUUCUCUAUAAUUGUGAUGCUGAGUGGAGAAGCAAAUAUACAGGAGAAAAAAAGCCUAAAAAUUUAAGAGACAAUAGGGAAAUAAGCAGGAAGUGACCUAAAAAACGGUUUCUUCUGAACUACUAAUCCUUUGCAUCUGCCACUUUUGAGUCUCUUUCUAUAAAGUUCAUUUUAAAAAUUAUGUUACAUGCCACAUUACCCUGCUAUUUUAGAUGUCUGAUGAUUUUGUUUAUUUGGCGAUAGCCACUAGACUUUUAAGACGAUGAGUGGUUGGAUUUGGUUGAAUUUCUUAAAGAGUAUUGAGGCUUUUAGGGAGCAACUGUACUCACAGAUCAAUCCAAAAUCUUAAUGAGCUGUUUCAGAAUUUGAAAGGGCAUUUACAGACUAGCUUUCACUAUUGAUCUAUUUGAAUUAUCCCCCUAAGACAUCACCAGUGAUGAAUGUUCAAAACAGUCAACAUGUAACUUUACUUUGUUAGGUUGGUAUAGUCAAUAGCGUUGUGUAAAUGAAUUGAUUAGGUCUGAGUCCUCAUCUCUCAUUUAUUCUUAGCAUCUUUGGAGGCUGCAAGUCUCUGUCCCAGAGGAAAAUUCCAAUACCAAGACUACAAAGAUAGCUUUGGUCAAACCUAGAGGGACAUAAAACAAAAAGGCAUGGAUGAGGAAGAGAGAAGAGCAGGAAAUGGCAGUGGGAAGGCAUGGGAGCCACACAGGGGAAAGAGAGGGGUGUGGUCACUGUUACAGGUCCACAGACAAGAUGCCUACAAGGAGGAUUGUGGAAGGAAUUUGAAACUUUGUGCAAGAAAAUCCAUUGAAUGUUCAUGCUUGGUGAGCUGUUCUGAAGGAGCUUCGAAGAUAAGAAUGUUGAAGCCAAUGCAGAGGAUGGGGGCCUGGCUUGUGAAGUUUCAGAGGGAAAUUGAAGGUGUCAUUCGGAGAAAUUGAGGCUUGGCUAUGAGAUACUAUUGGUGAAAAUGCAGCCCAGUUGCAGCAGAAGAUAAACAGCAUUUUUGGUGAUACCAAUACCAUGCAAUGACCACCAGCAGCAGCACUGGAGUGGUGCCAGUCAGAACCUAAAAGACAAGGUAUGUGUGCUAGAAAGGGCAGAGCUGAACAAUCCAGUACCAUUGGAGGAGCCCAGAAAAUUGUGAGUGAAUCCCAGAUAGUUGGAUAUUGAGUUAUUCACAUUGUUAGAGUUUGGUUUUGCUUUGAUUUGAUUUUUACUGUGCCCUGGUUCUUCUCUCUUGAAAAUAUUUAACUUAAUUUUGAUCUUUACAGCAACCCAAAGAUAAAAGACUGAACUUUUAAAGUUGAUUUUAGAGUUUUGAAGAAAAUGUGUUUGUGUGUCAAGUUGACAAGAGGUCAGCUGUACUGACUACUUUUGUGUCAACUUUAUACAAGCUCAAGGAAUUUGAGAGGAGGGAACCUCAAUUAAGAUAAUACCUUGAUAUCUUGUAGGACAUUGUCUUUCUUAAUGAGUGAUUGACCUGGAGGACCCAGCCAUUUGUGGGUGGGGCUGCCCCUGGGUUCUAUAAGAAAGCAGGCUGAGCAAACCAUGGUGAGGGCAAACUGGUAAGCAAAGCCCUUCUUCAGCCUCUGCUUCAGCUCCUACCUCCAGAUUCCUACCCUGUUUUGAGUUCCUGCCCUGACUUCCUUCAAUGAUGAACAGUAAUAUGAAAGUGUAAGAUUUCCCCCCAAACUUGCUUUCAGUCAUGAUGUUUUAUCAUAGCAAUAUUAACCCUAACUAUGAUACCAUGUGAACAACCAAGGUGGCACUUUAUACUUCCUGAGAUGACAAGGGCUUCCCACAGCCGAGUUGACAGACAGCCUCCAAGUGUUACCUGGGAUUCCACAGCCACUUCAGGCUUCCCAGAGGCUAAAACAGGAGGAUCACCAUGACUUUAACAACCUCAGCUACAUAGCAAGACUCCUUCUUAACAAAAAUCUGUGAAAUACAAGUAAUCAUUACUGAUCCUACUUUUCUAGCUAGUGCAUUCUACCAAUUUUAACAAGUUGCAUUGUUACACUCACUUUUUCAAAAUAUCUUCAACUUUUCUUGAACACUUUAAUUUUUCUUCCAAUGUUGAUAUUAUGAUAUAAUUUCAGUAUUUAUUCCUUACUGUACCUCCCUCCAACCAUUCUACAUACCCCUCCUUGCUUUUUUCAAAUUCAUGGACUCUUUCUUCAUUAAAUGUUGUCAUAUGCAUUCCUAAAUCUAACCUGCUAAGUCUGCAUAAUGGUGUGUAUGCAUGCAUGUAUGUAUUUACGUAUGUAUGUUUUCAGGGCUGGCCAUUUGGUGGUAUUGGAUAACCAGUUGUGCUAUUCCCCGCAGAAGACUGUUUCUCCCAUUCCUAGCAUUCCUGGGUUGCCUGUAGUUUUCUAUGUAGGACUUAGGCCUUAUGAGCUACCCUCUACCACUGCUCCAUUCACUUUGCAUGUUUAUUGGUGUUGUCUUUGUUCAGCUAAUGUUUAGGUAGUCAUGUGGAUGAGAUUUUGUAUAUACAACUUCUGACAUCUGUAGUAGACACAAUCUUGUAGAAAAAUGCCUGAUCUGGUUCUUGCAAUCUUUAACUUAUUUUAUGUUAGUGUCAUGUGUCAGUGUUUUACUGGUUGCCAAAUAUAUAGGGAUUUCUGUAGCUAUAUUUCUGUUGCUAAUCAGAUCACUGUAGUCUGUCAACAUAAUGUGGGGGGCAUGCAUAUGAUUGUGUGUGUGUGUGUGUGUGUGUGCGUGUUGUAUAUGUACAAUUUGUGUAUGGGGGUGUGGGGUGUAUGAAAGAGAGAGAGAGAGAGAGAGAGAGAGAGAGAGAGUUCCAUAUGUCCAUAUGCACUCCUAUAGAGGGCCCUGGUGUCUUCUUCUAUCCUUUGUCACUUUUAUUUUUUUUAUUUAAUUGUAUUUUUGCUUAUUUAUUAGGUGUGUGUGUGUGUGUGUG